AGGGAUAUAGCUCAGUGGUGGCAGAGCGGCACCGUGACAUGGUGACGGCCGUCGGUUCGAUUCCGAUUAUCCCUA
rnacentral:tRNA from 1 species